rnacentral:rRNA from 1 species
AGAGAGAGACAUGCGCGCAUAUCAAUAAGCGGAGGAAAAGAAACUAACUAAGGAUUCCCUCAGUAACGGCGAGUGAAGCGGGAAGAGCUCAAAUUUGGAAUCUUCAAGGUUCUACCUUGACGAAUUGUAGUUUAAAGAAGUGUUUUCUGUUGAAGUUUUGGUAAAAGUUCUUUGGAAUAGGACAUCAUAGAGGGUGAGAAUCCCGUAUUUGACCAUUAUUUUCCAGCUUUGUGAUACACUUUCAAAGAGUCGGAUUGUUUGGGAAUGCAGUCCAGAAUGGGUGGUAAAUUUCAUCUAAAGCUAAAUAUUGGCGAGAGACCGAUAGCGAACAAGUACUGUGAGGGAAAGAUGAAAAGAACUUUGAAAAGAGAGUUAAACAGUACGUGAAAUUGUCAAAAGGGAAGCGUUUGACACCAGUGUUGUUUUCUCGAAAAUCAAUUAAAAAUGGCUCGAUUUUGUAUUGUUGAGACCUUAAAAGCUCACUGUACAUUUUUCGUGUCUUUUUUAAUGCACUUUUCGUUUAACAAGUCAACAUCAGUUUCUUUUGUUGUAAAAGGGUCAUUGGAAGGUGGCUUUCUUUUCGGAGAAAGUGUUUAUAGCCUUUGGCCUCUGCAAUCGAAGAGACUGAGGUCUGCAGCGUAGACUCUUCGGGGUUAGAUACAUUUGUGCUAAGUUAUAGCUUUUCAUAGACAACUUGUUGACUAUAAUUAGUCUUGUAGCUUACUCGCUUAUGCUAUUUUACCUACGCUUAGGAUGUUGAGUCGUAGAGCACGCAG